rnacentral:rRNA from 1 species
AGGGAUCAUUACACAAAUAUGAAGGCGGGCUGGAACCUCUCGGGGUUACAGCCUUGCUGAAUUAUUCACCCUUGUCUUUUGCGUACUUCUUGUUUCCUUGGUGGGUUCGCCCACCACUAGGACAAACAUAAACCUUUUGUAAUUGCAAUCAGCGUCAGUAACAAAUUAAUAACUACAACUUUCAACAACGGAUCUCUUGGUUCUGGCAUCGAUGAAGAACGCAGCGAAAUGCGAUAAGUAGUGUGAAUUGCAGAAUUCAGUGAAUCAUCGAAUCUUUGAACGCACAUUGCGCCCUUUGGUAUUCCAAAGGGCAUGCCUGUUCGAGCGUCAUUUGUACCCUCAAGCUUUGCUUGGUGUUGGGCGUCUUGUCUCUAGCUUUGCUGGAGACUCGCCUUAAAGUAAUUGGCAGCCGGCCUACUGGUUUCGGAGCGCAGCACAAGUCGCACUCUCUAUCAGCAAAGGUCUAGCAUCCAUUAAGCCUUUUUUUCAACUUUUGACCUCGGAUCAGGUAGGGAUACCCGCUGAACUUAA